AGUGACACGUGGGCCCCCAACUGACCAAGAAGGUGUAGGGCUACGAACCCUUACUUUCUAGGAUGAAACUCCGAGAUUAAUUCUCGUCUUAAUCAACUAUCAACAAACUGUCCUGAGCCUGAAAAAUGGAUAGGAAGAGGGGUGAGAUUAUGAUUACAUAAUCCCAGUGAGUAAACAGACACCAUCUAAACUAUCUAAAGGCGAGUAAAGGGAGACAAUUAAAAAUAGUUCAUUUCAGUAAAUUUUUCACAACACGAAUAUUCAUUUCAACCAAAUAAUCAAUAUGGCUCGUGAAUUUCUCAAAACUUGGCUCCUGCCAAAAUCAUUCUCUCAAGUACCUUCGUCAAGGUAUCCCAUUGAGACCGCCAAGGCUAUUAAAUGUCCUAUACCCAUAAACAUGUUUUCGCAUCUGACACACAGUCGUUCCUUGGCAUUGGUUGAGUCUCACUCUCACGCGAUGGUUACUGUGAAGUGCACUCAAAAAGCCUACCGCAGGAGAUACCCUACGCGCUUCUACGACCGAGGUGAGAAUAUAAAUGAGUUUACCAUGCCCCUCUAAUAGGCUGGUCCACGAAACCCCCCCACCACUACAGUGACUAUGGAUUAUUUUAUCUACCAACUAAUUUAUAAAAUCUUUAUCUGCAUGACAUGGCAAUUUAUGGUAAUUUAGCCUCUCAAGGCUGAAUACAUAGUAUAGAUAAUUUUGAUACAAAUACCGACUUUGCCAUUCAUGCUCACAUAUUGUUAUAAGCCAUAUAAUUUAAAACAUAAUUUAUAACACAAGCAGGCAGUCUCCAAUUACUCUAUUUUCAAAACCAGUAUUCAAUUUUCCAAAAAAUUUAUAAAAUCAUUUUAUAAAAUAACAAUUUCUCCUAAAAUGUAGCAAUUUACCAUUUAAACUCAUUUUCUAUAAAAUCACACAAUUGUAUAAAACUACUCUAGAUAAUUAAGACGAUAAUAAAUUUACUCACAGUUCUAGGAGUAAAAAUACUCCUAUUUUCAGUUCGCGGGUACAGUCCUUUACCCGUAUCCAAUGGCUUACCACCUAGCCAUAAUCCAUGACACAUAUUUCAAUUAAAUUGUGUCUACAGUCAUAGGUUAUUUCAGGCUCGAUAUAUAUAUGCGUGAUAUGAAAUGAAAAAUGCACGGGUAGCCAUCUAGACCCGGUAUUGACCUAAGUCAAUUUUUCAUCCGAUAAAUUGGUCAAUGAGUCCAAUUUCACUCAAACUUGCUCCAUUUCUUUUCCAAUCCCUCAAUUCACCAAGCACAACUAAUUAACACACAAUUAGGCAAAUUUAUCUUCACUUUUCUUCUUGGAACUUUCGGCCAUUGUGAUGCACUAUCACUAAAAAUUUUCGCAUUCCAUUUUCUCACCAAAAAUCAUCAUUUCAUCAAUUUUUCAAUCAAUUCACUUGAUCACAAAAUCAAUUCAUUACUUCUACACUUCACAUAGGGUUCGGCCAUUGAAGGUUCAUGGGGAAAAUGGAUUCUUUUCUUGUUGUUUUGUUUCUAAACAUGUUUAACUAACUUUAAACACCAACAUAACUCAAAAUCAAACAAUUCCAACAUCUUUCUCUCUCCAUACCCAUUUUGACCAACCAUGAUUUCAUCAUGAAAACAUGUAAUUUAACCAUGGAAAUUAAGGAAAAAUGCAUGGGUAAGGUAAAUCACUAGCAAAAUCAAAGAAAUUUUACCUUUGCUUGAUCAAAUCCUUGAAUUCCAACACUUUCUCUUUGAUUUUUCCCACCUAGGGUUUGUUCUUCCUUGGUUUCUCUUCUCUUCUG
rnacentral:lncRNA from 1 species